UGGUCUACGACGUCGUUCGACGUCUCAUUAGCAGGAUAAUUAGUUUCCUCUUUUGACAAAUUUCUACCUCUGUUGAGAUGCGAUUACAUCUUUAGACACAACGUUAAGCGAUAUUCUGAGGGGACAAGAAGUUCUGGAGGGAAUGGAAUUAUCAAAAAUUAUGGACUACGGGGGGCCCCAGGGCAUUUAACCUGGAAUCUGUAACUGAACUACUAAACUAAGGCAAUAUCUGCAGUUUAUUUAUUAUUGCUAAACUUAUUUUGACUAUGCUCCUUCGUAAAUGCCACGCGAUUAUUACACAUUAAUCCACUUCGGGCAGGUGCCCUUCGUGUUCAGGUACUAAGAAUAAUACGAGGAAGAGUUUUUUUUUUCUUUUGGGCCUUUCCUAUGUUGCUUCCAUAGUAGGCAUUUUUAAAUUUCUUAUAUCUCAGGAGGUAUUCCCCCUUCGUCUUCAACUUCUCUUCCCAUAUG